rnacentral:rRNA from 1 species
AACGAACGCUGGCGGCGGGGUUUAGGCAUGCAAGUCGAGCGAGAAAGGGGCAACCCGAGUAAAGCGGCGUAAGGGUGAGUAAUAGGUAGUCUACGUAUCUUCCAGACGCGGAUAAUUUCCCGAAAGGGAUUGUAAUACGCGAUGAGACCACGCGGGAUCCGUCCUGUGGGGCCAAAGGUUCGGGAUCCUUCGGGACCGAGCGCUGGAUGAGCGGACGACCUCCGAUUAGCUAGUUGGCGGGGUAACGCCCACCAGGCGAUGAUCGGUAGCCGGCCUGAGAGGGUGUCCGGCCACACUGGGACUGAGACACUGCCCCAGACUCCUACGGGAGGCUGCAGUCGCGAAUCAUUCACAAUGGGCGCAAGCCUGAUGAUGCCACGCCGCGUGCGGGAUGAAGGCCCUUUGGG